rnacentral:rRNA from 1 species
AUACGGAGGGUGCCAGCGUUAAUCGGAAUUACUGGGCGUAAAGCGCACGCAGGCGGUUUGGUCAGUCAAAUGUGAAAUCCCCGGGCUCAACCUGGGAACUGCAUCUGAUACUGGCAAGCUUGAGCCUCUUAGGGGUUGGAAGAAUCCCCGGUGUAGCGGUGAAAUGCGUAGAGAUCUGGAGGAAUACCGGUGGCGACGGCGGCCCCCUGGACGAAGACGGACGCUCAGGGGCGAAAGCGUGGGGAGCAAACAGGAUUAGAUACCCUGGUAGUCCGCGCCGUAAACGAUGUCGACUUGGAGGUUGUGCCCUUGGGGCGUGGCUUCCGGAGCUAACGCGUUAAGUCGACCGCCUGGGGAGUACGGCCGCAAGGUUAAAACUCAAAUGAAUUGACGG